rnacentral:lncRNA from 1 species
UUAAAUAUUUGUAGAAUUAUUUUAUUUCAUGAAGACUUGGUUUCACUAUUGUUGUGUUGCACAUCAUUGACUCAUAUUUCUACAAAUAAGGAAAUAAAAAGAAACCAAAUCUAUUGAAGAUACGAUUCCAUCCAAGCAAACAAAUAACGAAACGGUCACUCAACUGAAAACAGAAAUUGUACAUCAUAAUGAAGCAUUGUUAAUCUCAUUAGACUUUGAAUUAGAGAGUGAGAGCAGUUCGAGCCAUGGAUAAAGCCCCAUCAUAGGACUGGUUUCCGCCAAUAAAGCCGCUCAUGUGGACAAAAACGCAACCGGGGAUCUCAGCAGCUUUAGAGAGUUCCUCAUCUCUAAGGCCUCUCCAUUGCUCAGGAAGAGCCUUUCGGUUCUCAAACCUGUCUGGUGCAACCGCCACUGCUUGGACUCUCCACUGCCCACAUUCACAAGAACACAUAUUUUGUAGACAGUAGGAAGAUCUACAUAAUAUAAUUUUCAAUCUUUAGGUAUUAAAAAGAAUAUAAUUAUUUGUAUAACUAUUUUUUUGUAGACAGUGAACCAUAUCAACUAUAUAAUAUAAUUAUUUUGUAUAUAGUUAUAUACAUAAUAUAAUUAUUUUUUGACAAACAGUACGACCAUAUCAACUAUAUACUAUAAUUAUUUUGUAUAUAUUUAUAUAACUAUAUAAUUUAGUUUAUAUAUGUGCGGCUUAUGUAGACAUUGUAAACAUGUUUUAGAAACAUAACCAUGAUAAAGCAUUGUUGAUGCAUCUAACGAUUACAAAUGUCUACUAAGGUUUGUCUAUAACAAUGGCAAUACAUGUAAUUAUGCUAGUGCAAAUAGGGCUUUUAGUUAAAAGUGUGAGAAAAGCUCUUGUGAUGACACGUAAAAAAUGACAUUUUGGUUAAUAACACAUGAGGAUAAGGUUAGUUUGUAGGAAUGCUCAUCUUUUAAUAAAAAGGAAAUAUGGAUAAAAUUGGCUUAUUGGAGGGACUGAAAAGUAUAUCAAAUUUUCAUAUCAUAUUUAGAAUUUAUAAAAAUGAUAUAAAAUUCAAGUUUAUUGAUUUAAUCAUUUAUAUAGCUUUUCAAAAUAUCACCUCCUAUGGUAUUAUAUGAAUUUUAAAUAGACUAUUCAAUUCUUUUUACUUGAUCACCAAAUAAAUUACUGAAAAAAGAAAAUAUAAAUAAUACAUGGAAUUAAUUGUUAAGUUAUUAUAUGUUUGAUAAAAUAAUAUAUAUAUAUAUAUAUAUAUAUAAUUAAAAUGUUUUACAUAGUUGUUAAUAUUACAUUUUAAAACAUAACAAUUUUAUUUAUUACGUUGAAUAAUUAUAUUUUGUGAUUUUAAUCGUCUAUUAUAUCACAAUGUAUCAUACAAAAAAUUCCAAUAUUUAUAACUAAUUGAACUUAUAUUAUGAAACCAUUAUACUAAUAAUAUAUGAAUAAACUAUUUUAUAUUUUAUUUAUAUGUUAUAUAGAUUGAUUAUGAUGUGUGACUUUUUAUUUUAUUAUUUAUUACUAAUAAAUAAUAAAAAAAAUAUUUAAUAUGUUAAUACAAAAUAUAUUGGGAAAUCUAUUUUGGUUAAGAUUUGAUUAAGUAAAUCUAUUACUUAAAUUAUAAAAAGACAUUAAAUGUUUAAAUCUAUUAUUUAAAUUAAGAAAAGAAAAACAUAAUUAAAUAUAGAUUCAAUAAAUAUCUCAGUGGCAUUAUAAUGUAAAUAAGUGGUAAAACUAAGGGGUAUUUCUCUUUUGUAUUUUUCUUUUAAUAAUAUAGAUGACUUUUGUGGUUUAAUACUUUUGAGAAUAUUUAAAACAGCCGAUUUUAUUGUUAUAUUAUAACAAUAAGUCUAAAAUUUUAUAUUUUUAUUUAAUCAAUAUUUAUUCAUAUGAUUUGAAUUUCUAUUUCAUAUUUAAAAAGUAGUAAUCAUAUUUUAUCAAUAUCUAUAAUUUCAAAUCUUUUACGUAAAGAUUCCAUCUCUCAUCAAUCUAAACAAACCAUCUAAAAACAAUAUUCCUAAAUAUCUCCCCUUAACCUAAACCAACGAAUAUAACAGAGCUACAUUAAUAUUUAAUAACUACUUUAAGUUAUUGUUGCCGUGUUUAUUUGUUUAAAUUCGAAUUAGGAAAAUGCAUUUAUAGAUCAAAAAAGACAAACUAUAAUUAAGGGAUCUAAAUUUAUUAUUUCAGUGGCAUUCUAACGUAAAUAACUUCAAAAUAUUAGGGGCAUUUUUAAAAUGUACUUCUAUUUUAAUAAUAUAGAAGAUAUAUUAUCGAAUUUGAAUUAUCAAAAUUGAAAUACUCUAAUUUUUAAAUAUUUGAAGAUGUAAACUAUUAUUGAAACCCGGCCCUUCCUAUGGAUCUCAUAGAUAUCAGAUGUUUUAAAUUAGCUAAUUGAUAAUAUUAUCUCUCUAAUAUCAUAAUUCAAAUAUUUUAAAGAAGUUUUAAUGUUUUGGUGUUCAAUAUUUCAGAUGCAAUAAUUUUAGAAAUGUUAUAAAGUUUUAAAAUAUUUCAAAUGUAGGUUGUGAUUGACAUCUUUUUCAUAUAUCUCAAAAAUAUCAAAAUCUUAGAAUUAUCUAAUAAGUUGACAAAUAUUUUGAAUUGUUAUGAGGUUCGAGCUUUUAAAAAUAUUUUUCUGUGGAAUAUUUAAGCUGUAGUAACAUUUGAAGUGUUAUGAGUUUUUGAAAUAAUUUAUUUUUUUAAAGAUAUAGAUUAAGACUGAUACAUUUUUCAUAAAUAUAAAAAAAUAUAAAAGCUGAGAAAUUAGUUAACUGGUAAAUGUACUAAUAACUUCUGAAAUGUUGCGAAGUUUGUAAAUUAUUAAUUUAGAAGUUCAUAUAUAUUUAGAAAGUUUAUAUAUCAAAUACAUUUUCACUGUUCAUUAUAUAAAAUUGAUCAUUAUAGUAGUUUGAAAAUGCAUACGAACAUGUCAAAGUUGAUUACCCAUAUAUGUGCAAUAAAACUUGGACGAAGAAAGAUUCAACUUCAUAUUAGAAAUGAAAUCAAAUAUGACAUAUAUAAUUUUUAUGGCUAGAUGCAUGUGUUUAUGGAAUAUAAAAAGUCUACCAUAAUGUAGUUCAAUGUGAGCAAAACCAGAAAAAAGGUUAAGAGUUGAUGCAAGUUUUAUAUGUGACCAUUUUAAGUAUAAUAUAUGUUUUGUAUAUAUGUUACAUGUUUCAUUAUCAGUUUUCUAAGGGUUAUUGCAUGGAGAAGAAGCUUACGCCAUUAUGUUUAAUGUAUUUGUGCUAAUAUCUUUAUCCAAACAUGUAUGGAAAAACUUCGGUGGUAGAAAAGAAAGAUGAUGAUGUUCAUUAUUAUUUUACUUAGUACGGCAUAUGGAUGAUAUGUAUUAAGGCCAUAAGUCUAUAUAUGGAAAGGAGUAUUAGAUCAUGAUUAAUGGGGGAUUCUUAUGGUGGAGUUCUUAGCAGAAUAUAAAAAACCGUCUCUUAACUUUUAACUAAAAGAACUAAGAACCGGUUCUUAACUUUUUUAGUUAAAAGUUAAGAGACGGUUUCUUAUAUUCCGCUAAGAACCCCACCCUAAGAACUCCCCAUUAAUCAUGCUCUUACGUAAAUAUGUCUAACCUAGUUUACCUGCUAACUCAUCCUAUAUAUUGUAAUAUCUCAUUCUCUAAAUAAGAUAUACAGUUCCACAUCUCUAUAUUGGUAUCAGAGUAAGGUUCUUAAAACCUAAUUUUUUUCUUUUACCCAUUUGAUGGUACAAAAUUUUGGGAUAUUAGAAAAACCCUAAUAAAAAACGAGUGUUGUCUCUAAAUGUUAACGAUAAAGAAAAAUAUUGGAAUAGAACAAUCAAUGAAACAAAAAUUUCUAUAGAAAUAUCUUGCAGUUCUAGUUAGAGAAUCUGAAACUGUGUUUUGCUCUCGAGGAAUGUAGAAAAAAAAUCGUAAAUGCUUAGAAUUUUCUUUGUAGAGUCUUUAUCUCUUCCAUCUCCGUUGAGAAAUUUGGCCAUGCAUUAGGUUCUUUUAUCAUAGUGAACGUCUUUGCAGUCCGUUCCAAAAUUCUGAUAAAUUGAAUGACUUAGCAGCCCAGAUCAGUGUUCUUACUUCUGAAUGCAAAGCUGACUCACAUCGUCUUAUAUGUUGUGUCCCGUUAACUGGAUUUGUCCAUAGGUAUCUUUCCAGGCCCAUCCGCAUUCACUGGAUUGAGAGGUGGGAGUUCAUAAUCCAUCCACUAAGCAUAUAUUCUCCAAACAUAUGGCUUGUGAAACUGUGGUACUUAAUGGCCGUGAUGUUGUAGGAAAAAUCACAUUCGCUGGGAACCAAGCAUGACACUCUCCUUCCGCGUAUCUGAUCAGUUCUAAGAGAUCGCUCGUCUAUACUUCUGAAUAGUUUAUCAUUCCUUUUCAAAGGUAUCAAAUUUAUUUAAGGAUAUAGAUCUAUGUCCAGCUCUAAAUCCUCAACAUUAUUUUUUUUCCAAAAAAGAUAGUCCAUGUUAGCAUAAACACUCGGUACCAGAAAAAUGUCUGGACACGAUGACGUUGCUGAUAGAGACCAUGUCUGCAACGCUGGUGGACACUCAAAUAUAGCAUGAGUAGCCGUUUCAUCAGGUUCCUCACAAGAUAAUAAUUAUGCAUCACAUAUGACGAUGGGUGAAAUUCUUUGUUACUACUACAUGGACGGUUAUCAGCUGUCAAAUAAGGUUAUGAAUCUUCUGCGGAGCUUUUAUUUUUCAAGCAAAAGCUCCAAGUUUGGUGAUAAUUAGACUCUGAGUAGAUCUUUCUCUUUCUCAUUAUUUAAAAUAAUUUGUGUUAUCCGGUAUUCAGACUUACCGGUAUAUUGGUUACUUUUUGUAAAGCUCCAGCAAGACGUUUUGCACUAGGUGGUUUGACUUAUGCUAAACUACGAAUCUGCGGUAUAUUUUCUUGGACAACAAAAUUUUUUAGCAUCUCCAAAUUCCCUUUGAAAAGAUCACUGACUAUCAAUUUCGGAUAUACCACUGGGGCAUUAGGACGUUCUGGUCUAUCUGGUGUUGUAGAAACCAAAAAUCUCCCACACUUUGACUUUAUAUCUUGAAUAAACCUUCUGCCUAAUCCCCAACAAUAAUAAUUGUCUUACCGUUGAUAUUCUUGUCUAUAUAGGAAGGAUUAUCCGUCCGUAGAUACGAUUCUAGGAGAUCCGCACUAAUAAUUUAUAUAACCGUUGCUUUAUUAUAAAAAAUUGGAGCUUAAACGUUAUUAUACUAAUUUUGUCAGAGUUUUAAAUAUUUGUAGAAUUAUUUUAUUUCAUGAAGACUUGGUUUCACUAUUGUUGUGUUGCACAUCAUUGACUCAUAUUUCUACAAAUAAGGAAAUAAAAAGAAACCAAAUCUAUUGAAGAUACGAUUCCAUCCAAGCAAACAAAUAACGAAACGGUCACUCAACUGAAAACAGAAAUUGUACAUCAUAAUGAAGCAUUGUUAAUCUCAUUAGACUUUGAAUUAGAGAGUGAGAGCAGUUCGAGCCAUGGAUAAAGCCCCAUCAUAGGACUGGUUUCCGCCAAUAAAGCCGCUCAUGUGGACAAAAACGCAACCGGGGAUCUCAGCAGCUUUAGAGAGUUCCUCAUCUCUAAGGCCUCUCCAUUGCUCAGGAAGAGCCUUUCGGUUCUCAAACCUGUCUGGUGCAACCGCCACUGCUUGGACUCUCCACUGCUUUCCUCGCUCGUCCUACACGUCAUUUGCACUAGUUCUCAAUACCAAAUUAUCCUUUCACCACACUAAUACAUUCACAUUUCUUAAGGAGAACACGUCAUUCACACUCAUCACAUCUGAGAUCCUACAAGCCUAUCUUAAUAUCGUGCUUGAAGGUUACCUGGUAGAUGACGUAUUUGAUGAGUGGUUCGAUCUUCAUCUCUUGCUCAAGCUCGAACAAAUGAAGCUUCCACUGCCCACCCAUUAACCCAGAGAGUUAGUUUUAAUAUUAAGAAAUCAGAAUAGUAGCAUUGACAAAGGGGAAUGGACAGUGAAAGCACUUACAGGGCAGAAGUUUUUAAGUUCCAUGAUCUCGCCACUAGGGUCAGUCUUGAAUCUUUCUUCAAGACACUGCAUCACGAUUGAUCGAGCCGGCAACCACGACCUUGCAUGAAAUCUUAAACUCUACAGGGCAAAGUAAAAUACACAAGUUAGCCUUGAGAAACCACCCACCUGACUGACACUUGGAACAGAGAAAGUCUUACUUGGAGAAACUCUUUGCCAGCAAGAGCCAUGGCAAGCUGGAAAGCCUCAUUCUCCUUCUCCUGGGACUGGUCAGGGUCAAUCCAAUCAAGAUUUAAUCUUCCAACCCUCGAAGACAAAUGCGUGUUGUUCACAUAUCUUGGAGGCUGAUCAGUAUCAUACCGAUUAAUUCCAUUGUCCACAGCAUCAAUCGCCUGUCACAAAAAAGUUGAUGAAACAUUAACAAAAAAAAAAUGCAUGGAGAAUGAAAGGCAACAGUGGUAGAGAAUAAUACCUCCAUGAAGCUCUUGUAGACAGCUAGAAACAAGCGAAGGACAUCAGGGUGAUCUUGGUCGACGUUAAGUUCCUUAGCUAUGAUCUCCUUUCCAAAAUGCUGAACCAAAACAACAUUCAGACAGACUUUAUUUCUUUCCUACAAAGAAAACUGAGGGAGCAAAGCAAAGCAAGAACCUUGUAAACGAGACCGGCACUGCUGAGCUUGGUGUUGAAACCAUGUCCAAACACCUCUUCGAAGCCCUUCUGGUGAUGAUCAUAGCGGUCAUGGUCGGGGUCAUAAACACCUCCAACGUCAAGCACUGCAUCAAGCUCCCCCAAUAUCUGCAUCAAAACAAUCCAUCAACAAUCGAAACCCUAAAUUCCAAAAUCAAUUUCAAACAAGUAAACAGUCUCCGACUAACUCAAUUCGUAAGAGCAAAAAACAUCUUAGAUUUGUUUUUGUUACCUUAGGGUCACGGGUACGGACGAUGUCGGCGCCGGAGAACUUAUGGGAGAGGCGUAUCAUGAAGCAACCGAGAGCUUCGUCGCAGUGAAAGCUUCCGUUGUGAGUACCAACUUUCUUGACUGGAACUUCCGAAGGAGAUGCGGGAGUAGUAGUAGUAGUAGUAGUAGUAGUAGAGUAAACCCUAACGACGGCACAAGGAGCCAUUGCUGCAGCAACGAGAGGAAGAGGAAGGAGACUCAAGUUUCUGAUUAAACCCUUUGUUACUGGAAACAUGACUGAAAUUUUGAUUGAAAAUUGUCAAAUGGGCCUCUUUUAUAAGAUACUAAACAGUUUGGGCCUAAUGUUCACCUUUUUAUCUGCCCCCUAUCACGUUAUGGCUUGUUCAGUCUUAUAGUUCUAUGGUUUGAAGAUACGAUUCCAUCCAAGCAAACAAAUAACGAAACGGUCACUCAACUAAAAACAGAAAUUGUACAACAUAAUGAAGCAUUGUAAUCUCUCCCUCUGCUUUGAAUUAAGACUUUGAAUUAGAGAGUGAGAGCAGUUCGAGCCAUGGAUAAAGCGCCGUCAUAGGACAGGUUUCCGCCAAUAAAGCCGCUCAUGUGGACAAAAACGCAACCGGGGAUCUCAGCAGCUUUAGAGAGUUCCUCAUCUCUAAGGCCUCUCCAUUGCUCAGGAAGAGCCUUUCGGUUCUCAAAC